rnacentral:rRNA from 1 species
UCAUGGCUCAGGACGAACGCUGGCGGCGUGCUUAACACAUGCAAGUCGAACGAUGAACCACCUUCGGGUGGGGAUUAGUGGCGAACGGGUGAGUAACACGUGGGCAAUCUGCCCUGCACUCUGGGACAAGCCCUGGAAACGGGGUCUAAUACCGGAUACUGACCUGCCGAGGCAUCUCGGCGGGUCGAAAGCUCCGGCGGUGCAGGAUGAGCCCGCGGCCUAUCAGCUUGUUGGUGAGGUAAUGGCUCACCAAGGCGACGACGGGUAGCCGGCCUGAGAGGGCGACCGGCCACACUGGGACUGAGACACGGCCCAGACUCCUACGGGAGGCAGCAGUGGGGAAUAUUGCACAAUGGGCGCAAGCCUGAUGCAGCGACGCCGCGUGAGGGAUGACGGCCUUCGGGUUGUAAACCUCUUUCAGCAG